UACGUAGGGGGCAAGCGUUGUCCGGAAUUAUUGGGCGUAAAGAGCUCGUAGGCGGUUUGUCGCGUCUGCUGUGAAAACCCGAGGCUCAACCUCGGGCCUGCAGUGGGUACGGGCAAACUAGAGUGCGGUAGGGGAGAAUGGAAUUCCUGGUGUAGCGGUGGAAUGCGCAGAUAUCAGGAGGAACACCGAUGGCGAAGGCAGUUCUCUGGGCCGUAACUGACGCUGAGGAGCGAAAGCGUGGGGAGCGAACAGG
rnacentral:rRNA from 1 species